UAAUACGGAGGAUGCAAGCGUUAUCCGGAUUCAUUGGGUUUAAAGGGUGCGUAGGCGGAAUAGUAAGUCAGGGGUGAAAGUUUGCGGCUCAACCGUAAAAUUGCCUUUGAUACUGUUAUUCUUGAGUACAUACGAGGUAGGCGGAAUGUGACAUGUAGCGGUGAAAUGCUUAGAUAUGUCACAGAACACCGAUUGCGAAGGCAGCUUACUAGACUGUAACUGACGCUGAUGCACGAAAGCGUGGGGAUCGAACAGGAUUAGAUACCCUGGUAGUCCACGCCGUAAACGAUGAUAACUAGCUGUUUGCGAUACACAGUAAGCGGCAAAGCGAAAGCAUUAAGUUAUCCACCUGGGGAGUACGUUGGCAACAAUG
rnacentral:rRNA from 1 species